ACUUGCAAGGUAAUAGAUCUGAUCUAUUGUUUAAUACAUACAUUAGAUGUAGUAUAGAAACAUGUUGAUAUGAUCAACAUGUAGUUCAUGCUCUAUAUAUUUUAAUUUUUGAUUUAAUGCUAUGUAAUAAUCAUGUAAUAGGAUCUUAGAUCUAGGGAUUUCUGAUUUUAAAAAAUAAAUUUUGAUUUAUUUUAGUCUUCCGCUGCA
rnacentral:lncRNA from 1 species